UGAACAAACACUUCUUUCUACAGAUAAAUUCCUCUGGAAAUUUUAAUACUUACUUGAGCUUUUCCAAGGGCUCUUCAAUCAUAGUAAGAAUUAUAGUCAUUACAAUUCACUUCUAAAAAAAGUAUCCUGUCCUUACCAGUAGGUUGUAAAGAUGGUCAAAGAACUACUGUAACUACUGUCCCAUUUACCUUUCCAUAUUUAAUAAACAUCUUUAUUAGGAAAAACAAAAACAAAAACAAAAACAAAAACAAAACAAAACAAAACAAAACAAACAAACAAACAAACAACUCUUUCUAGUUUAAUGUGCCUGGAAUUAAUUUUCAGUCUCAAAAUUUUGUUUAGACUUGGUCAGGAUUAUUCUUUAGCCACUGCUUCCCACCUACCACUUGUGUCUCCUUCCAUGCAUGCACACAUUCCUCUCACUUCUUCAGUAGUGUUCAUUUCGGUGCUGGCAGAGAGGAUUACUAGUAUGUUUUAAUCACGGGGAACACACCCCAGUCCCACACAGCGUUCAUUCUUUGUCAGUGUUUAGGUCCAGCAAUUCAUUAACCUGUAUCUCAUUUUUUAAGGUUCAGAGGUUUGCAGAACUGAACAUCAAUUUUGAAUAGUAUUCACAUGCCUGCAGAUCUGUGGGCAUCCUAGGCUUGGAAGUUUGGCUACAUGUUGCAUUUUCAGACAUGGUCUCAUGUGUGGUAGGAGCUCCAGCCAGUUUUAUUUUGCCAAGUGGUGCGUAAUGGUGCAGUGACAGGAGGGCAUUAUAUAUGGUUCAAAUGCACUGUGGAAAAGGGAAGAUGGAUUUGUUCCUGGUUCUCAGGCAUUUAUUUCUGCAUACUGGUCUUCCAAGCGAUGCUCUUGAAAAUAGGAGCAAGAAUGUAGCAGCAAUCAACCUGAAAAACAAUGUGCAAUCAUUUGAAGUGUCUGAACCCAGGGCUAAAAUGAAGGGCCCAGACCUAAUUCUUCAGGAAAUGUGUUGUUUUGUCUUGGAGUUGAAGCAGUAAACAUAAAGUAUAUUUUAUAUGAACACAUAUCAAUGCAAACUGCAUUCUGUGUCAAAAACAUGGGUUGCUUUAUCUAAGUGAAAAGGCUUUGUUUUCUGUUUGAAAAUGACAAUGAGAAUUUUGGAUGGAAACUGAGAAGAGAACAGUAAGCCAUAUCAGUAACAGUGCUGAUCACAGCUGAAGUGUAUGUUACCAAGGUGACCACACUUACAGACUCAUGCUGAACUCAUCAGUAAUCAAGAGUUUAACUAGCAACAUCUCUAAAAGUUACAUUUCUGCCUUGGCUAAAAUAAAAAAG
rnacentral:lncRNA from 1 species